CCCAAGUUCUGACAUCAUAAUAACCGUGGGUAUUACUCACGAUACGCUCACAAGCCUGGCGAGGCACAGUCUGUACCCUCUUUAUCACUGAAGUCAGCAAUGGGUUUAAAAAUAGCAUUUGCUCCCACACCCAGGGUACCACUGACUCAUUAAUGGAGGAACAAACACUAUCCUGGACUCCUUACUUCUGUGGGGUUUUAGACUGAGGCUCCAAGAACUGAGGUACAGCACGUGUCCCCGCUCUAACAGGGGGGCUGUGCUGUGCCAACUUACAGAGAGAGCUCGGCAGAUCCCAAAAGAAGGAAUCCUUAGAAAUUGCAAAAGCAGGAUUUAAGAUGCUGUCAUAUUUGUGACUCAAACAUGAUCAUCCUAAAAUGUCAUUAAGGAAGAUAUCUAUAAACCUGGGAACUGUAACAUGCUGAACAUACCAAAAUAAAGAGGGAUGAUGUUACAGUGCCAUAUUUACAGAUCUGCCACGCUGAGGAUUCUAGAGGCCAUGGUGAGCAUCCAGAAAUGUCUGCCGAGAGACCACCAUGUUCAAGCACCAUCCCAAGGGCUGUGAGAACAGUACUACUGCUUUUGAAGAGAACACCACAAGGAGAUGGGUGAUGGGGAACCGAUAACUGACCACGUUAAGGCUGACAUAACUGUUACUGAUGAUAUGCCGCAAGGCUUGGAAGGAGGACCGAGCACAGGACAGAGCACCCCAAGAGCAAGCGGUGGGAGGCUGAAGCACAGAGGCCAGUGGGUCAGGAGACAUGCAUCGCAGUUAGGGAAUAAGACUAAACAUUUUUUUCCCAGUAGGCUUCAUCCCCAGAGCAGAGCCCAAUGUGGGGCUUGAGCUCACGACACUGAGAUCAAGACCUGAGCUGAGAUCAAGACUGGACACUUAACCAACUGAGCCACCCAAGAGCCCCUAAGCCCAUUAUGAUUUAAGAUUUAUAAGCCAUCUACUUCCCACAGGACCUGGAAUAGUUUGCAGAUAUAAGAAUAAGAUAAGAUGCAAGAGGAACACCACUAUCUGAAGGGAACACAAGGAAGAAUGAGGACGGCCGAAAGCAUCUGAGGACUCCCGCAGGGAGUGGCACAUGCAUUUGGAAAGGCGAGUUAUAGUCAGACGUGGUUUCAAUUUUAUCCUGUAGGCAGCAAGGAGUCGUGAGGUGUUUGUGAGUGAGGAGAGGGCCAGUCGGCCUGCCACAUGGAAAAUGGCCUUGUGUGGCCAAGGCCAAGAGGCUCCCAGCCCGCCUUGGAGGAGGUUCUGUGAGGUGAGGUCCUGAACGAAAGGUGUAGAGCUGAUGGGAUGGUAAGGCAAGGCCACAGACAAGAGACUGAAGGAGCAACCUAAAGACUGUGGUGGCGGACGGGGAGGGAGAGGGCAGGAGAGGGAUUGGCCAUACCGUAGAGCCGCAGUGAUGAGUGACAGAACACGGGGCUCUCGCUGACUUGGAGCAGCAGAAGGAGGCAUGCCCUGGUGUUCGUGGCCAGGCCUGGGGGCUCUUUGAACCAGGAUGCUCCCCGGGAAGCAUCAAUCGGCAAUGACCCCUCCAGCCGCCCAGAUUCUCCGUGAAUGCGUCUCCAAGGCCAGAGCUGAUCUAAAAUGAAAUCAGUUCUCACACCGGGUCUAUGAGUUACUGCCCCAUGACGAUGCUCUCCAGCUGUAGCUGGAAGGACACUACCAGGUAACAUAAAGCCUUAAUCCCUAGGCGGGGGGGUCCAGGAGUGACAGGGACCUAUAAUCCUCGAGCAAAACCACACAGCAACCCUUCCAGAAGCACUCAACCAAAACCAUCCGGCCUAUGAGGGUACCUUUUGUUACACACGAGAUAUUAAUGGAGAACAUCCAGAUUUCUGUGUUCCUUCUGAUGGCGGGUGCGGUGAGAACUCUCUGGUCUUUCACUAACAUCAAAUACAUACACUCCAUCUACUCCCCACACCACCCCCCGCCCCAGCCCAAGUGAGCCAAGUGGACCCAGUGCUCAAAGUCCUCUGUAUAUCAGUUCUCAAAAGGUGGUGAAGGACGAAACUUCACCGCCAUCCUGCACCACACGGCUCUCAGCGGCUCGCCUUGUGGUCUUGACCCCGCUGGCCAAGCCCUUUUCAUUCUUUUUCAGUUAAGCAGAAAAUGAACCAUCAGCUCCAUUUCCACUCUCUCUGCAUGAAUCCUUUUCCCUUUUCUUUCUUGGCUCAAACUAUAUGGCUCAUAUAGGAUUCCCACCGUGUUCUUCAGGGACUCUUACCUUGCUAAGUAUUCUUCUCUUCUAAGAAAGGCUGAAUCCAAAUAAAAGGUGGGAGAGAGUAUGAACACAUUCUAAGGGGCAAAUGGAAAUACAAGAAGGCAAAAGAAUAAACUUGUUGAUUUCUCGUU